rnacentral:lncRNA from 1 species
CAUUAUUCAGAGAACUCAUGUCAGGUGUGCAUAUCUCACACCCACCUGUUAUUUCAUGAAAUUCAGGGUGGUGGUUUCCCCCGUAGUAUCACAAAUUUUUAUUACGGGGACCUCAGUUAAGGCUGGCUCUGCCCUCCCGGGGGCCUCCCAAGCUCCUUUGUAGGGAGAGGACGAGCCCUGGGUUCUCCUAGAUCUGGUCAAGACUGCUAACAAUUCCCUCUCACCAACCAUCUAAAUUAACUUCCUCACCUGCACACUGAGAGGUUAGAAGAGAUGGUUGCUAAGCUGCCCUCGGCUGAUGCUCCAUGAAACUAGUCCUGUGGAAGAUGACAUGGGUCCCCAGCUUCUCCUGGUGGGGGGACUCCUCCCAUCUUGGGACAGCCCCCACCCCUGCUGGAGAAGCUGAGACUGACAUCACUAUCCAGGCUUCCACAGGCCAGUGGGCUGCAUGCUUCUUGCUGCCCUUCUGACGGGUCUCACUGUGUCACACGGGGUCACAUUUUGGAAGGAGAUGCAAUAACUCGGCUCCCAGACUCUGCCUCAGCACUUCAGGGCCCAGUGGCAUCUCUGCCUCUCAUGCAGCGUCCCCACCACCACCCCUGCAACACCCCCAGGAGGUCAGCCUGGAAUGCCUAGAAUUGCUGGGCAGCUGUCUGGAGCUGCAGGUGCCCAAUUCUGUUCUCUGCUAAAUCAGAGUCUCCUGGGCUGGGCCCAAGGUAGGUGCAUCGUAGACAGCCCCCCAGCUGUCCCUGCCCCAUCCAGGACCAAUCUCAGAAAGGGAUCUGCGGUAGCCCCGAGCAGAAAAUGCUUGAUGCUCUGAUUAUUGCCCCUUUUGGGGUUGUUUGCCCAGAGCAGGGAUCCAAGCGCAGGAGCAAAAAAAUCAUUUCUUGGCCCCCAGAAUGGGUCAGGAAACCCAACCUGCUCACCCCAUACGGGAAUCCCACCCACGGCCCACCAUCUAUUGUUACCUGCCUUUACCGCCCACCCCCAGCCUUGGGGAGCCCCAUGCCUCCCGGGCAGAAAGGCUGCAUC